rnacentral:piRNA from 1 species
UGUUAAGCUUCCAUAGUGCGGGUUUUGUGU